CAACCCUCAAGGACCUCCUCCACCUCCUGGCUGUACACGGCAUCCUCCGCCACCUCCUCCCCCGCGUGCUCCUCCCAAUGGCCCUACAGGCAGCACUCAGGGGGCUCAUCGUCCAGGUGAUGCCAACCCUCAAAGACCUCCUCCCCCGCCUGGCCCAACUAGCAGUGCCCUGCGUGCUACUCCCAAUGGACCUACAGGCAGGACUCAGGGGGCUCAUCACCCAGGUAAAUACCUUCCCCGACUCCAAACAAAACUAGGGGGUGUGACUUUAGUUGCACAUAUCAUAGUGCCCAGUUGCACAGAACAUGCUGCCUAGUUGCGUGCGCUGUGUUAGUUUGAGGAUCAAGCUAAAAUCUAACUUGUUUUUCCUGUUCUGCCCAUAGGCGAUUACAAUCCAAGUACCAUGACGGGCUGUGCUACUACAGAUGUUUUUUUCAACUUAACUUGCACACAGCAACCAGUUAGUUGCACAACAUGGGCUGUGUGGUUGCAGAGAACAUCAGUGCUGGUUGCACAACAAAAAAAAUACUAAUUUUUUAUAUGAUUAUUACACAGGUGAUCGUGAUGGUCCUACUGCCCCGUUGGAGGCUGCAUCCCCUGCACAAGCUUCUGAUGAUUUUGUGACCAGGGAUCCUCCAAGGUCUACUACAAAGGGUAAGGCAAAGAUUCGACGGUACAAAUCGGUGCUGGAGCUACACCCAAAGAAGAAAAAUAAAUGCAGCCAGUGCCAAUCUACAGAGCACACUGCUGGUGUGUGUCCACUCAGGCUACUGUGAUUCUGUUUCAUCGUUUGUAACUUUGGGACAAACAAGGAAAAGAAUGAUGUUUUUUAGCAAUGUUGGGACCAAGUGGACACAUUCAGCAUCUAUGAUUUAUCUUUAUCUAAUUUAUGCUCCUUGAAUUAGUUCAUGCACUGUGUAAAAAAGGUUGCUAUUUGUGCCUUUGUUGGCAACUUGUUAAAUAUUUAGUUGUUGAACAAUUGUAUGUCCAGUGCUCCUAAUGUAUCAACAAAAGUGGUGAUAUUGAGUUGCAAACGGAAUUACUACUA